GAUGAACGCUGGCGGCGUGCCUAAUACAUGCAAGUCGAGCGAACGGAUGAGCAUCUUUCUUCUCUGAUGUUAGCGGCGGACGGGCGAGUAACACGUGGAUAACCUACCUAUAAGCCUGGGAUAACUUCCGGAAACCGGAGCUAAUUCCGGAUAAUAUUUUGAAUCGCAUGGUUUAUAAGUGUAAGACGGUCUUUCUGUCAAUUCUAGAUGGAUCCGCGCUGCAUUAUAUAGUUGGUAAGGUAACGGCUUACCAAGGCAACGAUGCAUAGCCGACCGGAGAGGGGGAGAGGCCACCCCGGAUCGGAGACACGGUCCAGACUCCUACGGGAGGCAGCGGUAGGGAAUCGUCCGCAAGGGGCGAAAGCCUGACGGAACAACGCCGCGUAAGUGAUGAAGGUCUUCGGAUCGUAAAACUCUGUUACUAUUGAAGAACAAUUGUGUAAGUUACUGUUCACAUCUUGACGGUACCUAAUCAGAAAGCCACGGCUAACUACGUG
rnacentral:rRNA from 1 species